rnacentral:rRNA from 1 species
AUUGAACGCUGGCGGCAGGCCUAACACAUGCAAGUCGAACGAGUGGCGGACGGGUGAGCAAUGUCUGGGCAACUGACUGAUGGAGGGGGAUAACUAAUGGAAACGGUAGCCAAUACCGUAUACCAUCAGAUGUGCCCAGAUGGGAUUAGGUUGUUGGUGGGGUAACGGCUCACCAGGGCCACGAUCCCUAGCUGGUCUGUGAGGAUGACCAGCCACACUGGAACUGAGACACGGUCCAGACUCCUACGGGAGGCAGCAGUGGGGAAUAUUGGACAAUGGGCGCAAGCCUGAUGCAGCCAUGCCGCGUGUAUGAAGAAGGCCUUCGGGUUGUAAAGUACUUUCAGCGGGGAGGCGUUACCCGCAGAAGAAGCACCGGCUAACUCCGUGCCAGCAGCCGCGGUAAUUC